UACGAAGGGGGCGAGCGUUGUUCGGAUUUACUGGGCGUAAAGGGCGCGCAGGCGGCCACUCAAGUCAGGCGUGAAAGCCCCGGGCUUAACCUGGGAACUGCGUCUGGGACUGAGAGGCUAGAGAUCGGGAGAGGAGAGUGGAAUUCCCAGUGUAGAGGUGAAAUUCGUAGAUAUUGGGAAGAACACCAGUGGCGAAGGCGGCUAUCUGGACGGUUUCUGACACUAAGACUCGAAAGCGUGGGGAGCAAACAGG
rnacentral:rRNA from 1 species